rnacentral:rRNA from 1 species
AUACGGAGGGUCCAAGCGUUAUCCGGAUUUAUUGGGUUUAAAGGGUGUGUAGGCGGAAAUAUCAGUCAGUGGUGAAAUCCUGCAGCUUAACUGCAGAACUGCCGCUGAUACUUUAUUUCUAGAGUAUAGUUGAAGUGGGCGGAAUGUGUCAUGUAGCGGUGAAAUGCAUAGAUAUGACACAGAACACCGAUUGCGAAGGCAGCUCACUAAACUAUUACUGACGCUGAGGCACGAAAGCGUGGGUAGCGAACAGGAUUAGAUACCCCGGUAGUCC